UUCUCACAAUUAUAGUAAAUUAAGCAGUCGACAAAAUAGCUGAUAAGAUACUGAUUUUAUUUCAUUAUUAGUCUGUGUCUAUAUAGGCGGAGAUUUAUUGUUUUCACGUCAAUAGAAGGGCAUUAAGCUACCUUGAUAAGCGCGUGGGAUGGAAAACAUAGGCUUAUAUCAAAAUUUAGUUUUUCUAAUUGGCUUGAGAUUGGGCAGUGCGCAUUUUCUUAGGGUUUUCAUUUUCUUGCAAAAUCUUCUUUCAAAAAGACUGUCCAAUGGGAAAAGAGGGUAAGAGUGGGUAUUUUCCUGGGGUUUUCAUUUUCCUGCAAAAUCUUUUCAGAAGACUAUCCAAUGGGAAAGAAGCUCAGAAAAAUAUCAAGCAAGUUUUACAAAUUUCUUUUUUGAUUGUGUGCAACACCUAUUAUGCAUGAUGAUAUACAUGGCGAGUAUUCAUUGAAAUAGGAUGUAGACAUUCAUCAAUUUCUUCUUGCAGGUCCAAAGCCAUAAUCGAGUAACCCUGUUGCAUCAACAGAGCCAAGUAGGAAGGAAGGGCAUUUGAAGAUCCAACAAUAGGAGAAGAAAAAGCAUAAGGAAUUGAUUGAGGAUGUCAGCAAAAUAUAGUUCAUCAUAAUAGUUUUGAAUGGUCAUAGCCUGAAUGAAACUGCAAGACAUGUACUACAAGAGGAGCAACAGAUGCACUUUAUGCCUGAUGAAAAAUUUAAAAGUGCUAUACAACCUUGUAAAUAUGCAUACUUUGACAAGAUAUUUCCUUGGAACAUGACUAUUUGUUCUUAUAUGACUAUGAUUAGUUUGUCGUUGAAUAUAGUCUUUGUUCAAAUAUGACAAACUGACACCAUUGAUAAUAUUAUAUUGGCUUUCAAUUUCAAGGUUGAUAUUUAGAAUCAAUGAAGUCUUGAAGAGCAGCUGUUUUGUACAUCAUUAUUGUUAUAUUUACUUUAUUCAAUCUUGAA